UUAAUUGAAGCCAAAAUUGAGGCCUUUCAUUGUUAAUGAAAUUAAUGAUUUAAAUUAAUCCAAUUAAA
rnacentral:tRNA from 1 species